rnacentral:hammerhead_ribozyme from 1 species
AUCUGGACAACGAGUCCCGAAUAGGACGAAAUGUACAUCCUGGAU